AAAGUUGGUUUGAAGGUCCCCAAGGUGGGUUUGAAGGUCCCCAAGGUGGGUUUGAAGGUCCCCAAGGUGGGUUUGAAGGUCCCCAAAGUUGGUUUGAAGGUCCCCAAGGUCAGUUUUGGGUCCCCAAGGAUCCUUUGAAGG